CUAGAUCAACGGUUGAAAUCAAACGGUUUAGAGGAUUAAACGGUGUAUAUACAAAGUUUAAAAUAAGAUAAUACAAAAUUGAGAACGGCAUCCAAGCCUGAGCUGGGCCCCGUGGGUCUAACAAGGUGACAGGUUGCGCUCAAGUCUGUUCUCUCCCUCCUCUGCUCUCCAUAUAUUCUCUCCUACGUUCGCUGCCUUCUUCGUGAUUCCUCUCUCGUCUUGGACAAUCGGUGAACAUGGGAACCAACUUCAAACCAGUGAUAUUGUCACUGUUUACUGCCUCGUCGCUGUUUACCUUUGCAUACUCUGCGUCCAAUGAUGGGUUGGUUAGAAUUGGACUGAAAAAGCUGAAAUUGGAUCAAAACAGCCAGAUUGCUGCUCGG
rnacentral:misc_RNA from 1 species